rnacentral:rRNA from 1 species
CCUACGGGUGGCAGCAGUGAGGAAUAUUGGUCAAUGGACGAGAGUCUGAACCAGCCAAGUAGCGUGAAGGAUGACUGCCCUAUGGGUUGUAAACUUCUUUUAUAUGGGAAUAAAAUGUUCCCCGUGUGGGAUUUUGUAUUUCCCAUUUGAAUAAGGAUCGGCUAACUCCGUGCCAGUAGCCGCGGUAAUACGGAGGAUCCGAGCGUUAUCCGGAUUUUUUGGGUUUAAAGGGAGCGUAGGUGGAUUGUUAAGUCAGUUGUGAAAGUUUGCGGCUCAACCGUAAAAUUGCAGUUGAAACUGGCAGUCUUGAGUACAGUAGAGGUGGGCGGAAUUCGUGGUGUAGCGGUGAAAUGCUUAGAUAUCACGAAGAACUCCGAUUGCGAAGGCAGCUCACUGGACUGCAACUGACACUGAGGCUCGAAAGUGUGGGUAUCAAACAGGAUUAGAUACCCUUGUAGUC